CCGAAUUUUGACGUAGCACCGCAGAUGAACGCUACGGACGCCCGACUCGGUACCCGUACUCGAAGCCAACAGUCGGAAUGUGGAUUGGGUAACGUUUACAGGCAGAUGUUGUCGAUCUCAAUGACAAGUUCUCACCGAUAGCCUAUGUUUAAGUUGUAAAUCAAAUGCACACUGUAGUGUAUUUAAAAUCGUAUUUUCGACGAUUUUGUAAUUA